rnacentral:rRNA from 1 species
AUUGAACGCUGGCGGCAGGCCUAACACAUGCAAGUCGAGCGGAGCGGCGGACGGGUGAGUAAUGCCUAGGAAUCUGCCUGGUAGUGGGGGAUAACGUCCGGAAACGGGCGCUAAUACCGCAUACUAUCGGAUGAGCCUAGGUCGGAUUAGCUAGUUGGUGGGGUAAAGGCCUACCUAGGCGACGGUCCGUAACUGGUCUUGGAGGAUGAUCAGUCCCACUAGGACGGAUACACGGUCCAGACUCCUACGAGAGGCAGCAGUGGGGAAUAUUGCAGAAUGGGCGCAAGCCUGAUGCAGCCAUGCCGCGGGUAUGAAGAAGGCCUUCUGGUUGUAAAGUACUUUCAGCGAGGAUGCGUUACUCGCAGAAGAAGCACCGGCUAACGCCGUGCCAGCAGCCGCGGUAAUAC